rnacentral:rRNA from 1 species
GUCUACUUAUCGCGUUACUUCACUACUCACGGAUUAAAUCCACAAACAGUUAGUAGACAGCGUUUACNGUGUGGACUACCAGGGUUAUCUAAUCCUGUUCGCUACCCACACUUUCGCACAUGAGCGUCAGUNAUUGACCAGAGAGUCGCCUUCGCCACUGAUGUUCCUCCAGAUAUCUACGCAUUUCACCGCUACACCUGGAAUUCCACUCUCCUCUCCAAAACUCUAGUCUGCCAGUUCUAAAUGACCAUCCCACGUUGAGCGCGGGGCUUUCACAUCUAGCUUAACAGACCGCCUGCNUGCGCUUUACGCCCAGUAAUUCCGAUUAACGCUUGCACCCUCCGUAUUACCGCGGCUGCUGGCACGGAGUUAGCCGGUGCUUCUUCUGUUGCUAACGUCACAGCUAAUGGGUAUUAACCAYCAACCUUUCCUCACAACUGAAAGUGCUUUACAACCCGAAGGCCUUCUUCACACACGCGGCAUGGCUGCAUCAGGCUUUCGCCCAUUGUGCAAUAUUCCCCACUGCUGCCUCCCGUAGGAGUCUGGACCGUGUCUCAGUUCCAGUGUGGCUGAUCUUCCUCUCAGAACAGCUAGAGAUCGUCGCCUUGGUGAGCCUUUACCUCACCAACUAGCUAAUCUCACCUGGGCUUCUCUUUGCGCGGGAGCCGAAGCCCCUUUGACCCGUAGUAU